CCAUCUCUCUUUUCAUGAAACCCUAGCCUCCUCACUCUAUAAAUAGAACCCCAAGGCCUCCCUCUUUUUCAAUCAAGCCAACGCCUAAGUUCUCUUCAAGCUUCUCUCUUUCUCUCUCCCUCUUCCUCUUCUUUGUAAGUUUAGGGGAGGUACUAACCCUAGCACAAUAUAUUCCUCCAUAGAUCCCUUUUCCACAUCCCAUCAAAUCUAGGAGAGGUUCUAAUCUUAGUGCCGCUAUCCUUUCUUUGUUACAUAUCCGCUUCCAUCA
rnacentral:lncRNA from 1 species